GGCUCAGGAUGAACGCUGGCGGCGUGCUUAACACAUGCAAGUCGAACGGACGCUUUGGGUAACUGGAGCGUUAGUGGCAAACGGGUGAGUAACGCGUGGGUGACCUGCCUCAAAGUGGGGAACAACAGACCGAAAGGUUUGCUAAUACCGCAUGUUCUCGGCCAUUCAAUUGGUCGAGCAAAACCGAAAGGUGCUUUGAGAGGGGCCCGCGUCCCAUCAGGUAGUUGGUGAGGUAAAAGCCCACCAAGCCGAUGACGGGUAGCUGGUCUGAGAGGACGAUCAGCCACAAUGGAACUGAGAUACGGUCCAUACUCCUACGGGAGGCAGCAGUGAGGAAUAUUGCGCAAUGGGGGAAACCCUGACGCAGCGACGCCGCGUGGGUGAUGAAGGCCUUCGGGUCGUAAAACCCUUUUGGCAGGGACGAGUGAGGACGGUACCUGUUGAAUAAGUCUCGGCUAACUACGUGCCAGCAGCCGCGGUAAAACGUAGGAGGCAAGCGUUAUCCGGAUUCACUGGGCGUAAAGCGCGCGUAGGCGGUCGGGUAAGUCGGAUGUGAAAGCCCCUGGCUCAACUGGGGGAGGUCAUUCGAUACUGCUCGGCUUGAGGAUGAGAGAGGAGAGCGGAAUUCCCGGUGUAGCGGUGGAAUGCGUAGAGAUCGGGAGGAACACCAGCGGCGAAAGCGGCUCUCUGGCUCAUAUCUGACGCUGAGUGCGCGACAGCGUGGGGAGCAAACGGGAUUAGAUACCCCGGUAGUCCACGCUAUAAACGAUGAGGGCUGGGUGUUGGUUCCAUUUGGAAUCAGUGCCGAAGCAAACGCGUUAAGCCCUCCGCCUGGGGACUACGAAUCGCAGAUUAAA
rnacentral:rRNA from 1 species